rnacentral:rRNA from 1 species
AAGCUCUUGAUCGAAGCCCCGGUAAACGGCGGCCGUAACUAUAACGGUCCUAAGGUAGCGAAAUUCCUUGUCGGGUAAGUUCCGACCUGCACGAAUGGCGUAACGAUGGCGGCGCUGUCUCCACCCGAGACUCAGUGAAAUUGAAAUCGCUGUGAAGAUGCAGUGUAUCCGCGGCUAGACGGAAAGACCCCGUGAACCUUUACUAUAGCUUUGCACUGGACUUUGAAUUUGCUUGUGUAGGAUAGGUGGGAGGCUUUGAAGCGUGGACGCCAGUUCGCGUGGAGCCAUCCUUGAAAUACCACCCUGGCAACUUUGAGGUUCUAACUCUGGUCCGUUAUCCGGAUCGAGGACAGUGUAUGGUGGGUAGUUUGACUGGGGCGGUCUCCUCCUAAAGAGUAACGGAGGAGUACGAAGGUGCGCUCAGCGUGGUCGGAAAUCACGCGUAGAGUAUAAAGGCAAAAGCGCGCUUAACUGCGAGACCCACAAGUCGAGCAGGUACGAAAGUAGGUCUUAGUGAUCCGGUGGUUCUGUAUGGAAGGGCCAUCGCUCAACGGAUAAAAGGUACUCCGGGGAUAACAGGCUGAUACCGCCCAAGAGUUCAUAUCGACGGCGGUGUUUGGCACCUCGAUGUCGGCUCAUCACAUCCUGGGGCUGAAGUAGGUCCCAAGGGUAUGGCUGUUCGCCAUUUAAAGUGGUACGCGAGCUGGGUUUAGAACGUCGUGAGACAGUUCGGUCCCUAUCUGCCGUGGACGUUUGAGAUUUGAGAGGGGCUGCUCCUAGUACGAGAGGACCGGAGUGGACGAACCUCUGGUGUUCCGGUUGUCACGCCAGUGGCAUUGCCGGGUAGCUAUGUUCGGAAGAGAUAACCGCUGAAAGCAUCUAAGCGGGAAACUUGCCUCAAGAUGAGAUCUCACUGGAGCCUUGAGUUCCCUGAAGGGCCGUCGAAGACUACGACGUUGAUAGGUUGGGUGUGUAAGCGCUGUGAGGCGUUGAGCUAACCAAUACUAAUUGCCCGUGAGGCUUGACCAU